CACAUCAUCAAGUAUGAGAAGAAAUCUUUUCAUGUUCAACUCUUUUUCCAGAUGUUUAAGUAUUGCAUCCUUGUUGGUCAUUCCACCUGUGUUUUUGUCAAGAGUUUGUAACAUUUCUCCUAAAAUUCUCUGCUCAUCAAAAUUAUCAGAAACACAGACCCACAUAGUUACAUCAUAAAGUUUCUUCUCCUUCACUGCUUUACACACCAAUUUUGCCACAGUUGUCUUUCCAAGACCAGCCAUGCCUACUACAGGAACAACAGUGAGAGGUUGAUUGCAGGAGCAGGUCAGUAAGUUCACAACUUUAUAGACAUCAUCUUCCCUUCCCACAACUUGGGAGUUAUCAAGGUAGGAGUCUGUCACUCGGUCCAGACUUAUUUGAGGCAACCUAUCCAUAACUUUAAGUCCAAAUUCAGCUGCUUCCUUCUUUAUUUUAUCCAAUGACCCAUUUAUAUUCUUCACCUUAUGGGACAUUUUGACAUGAAAUGCAGCCUUCUUUACAUAAUGAGUACCUUUAAAAAAUGAAAAGAAGUUGUGUACCUCAGUCUCUGUUUGAUUCUGGAUCUCCACUUUUCGUCGAAGAAUCUCAUAAGCAAACUCAUCAAGCACAUCUUCAGCAUCAUAGGCCAGAUCUUUGAGCUUUUUCAGCCAACGCUUCACAGCUUUCUGAGUAACCUGUUGCUCUUCUGCAUCUUGUAACACAUCACGAAUCAUGGCUAGUGACUCUUGAAGCUUUUCCAGGUCCUCCUUGAGAUUCCAUUGAAGGAUGAUCUCUUCAGUGAUAAGUGAAACCACCCUGGCUAGUGUUCCUUCCAAAAUCGUAAAGCUUGGUUAUGAAAUCAGGAAUGCUUUGAUUUCGGUACAUGCCUUGGUACCCAAUGCACAGUGCAUACAAGACUCAUAAGUGCUUCCCUGAGUAUAGCUGAUGCUGUUUGGAAUCUCCACAGGGCACAAACUGACAGUCCCUUAUAUAGGGUCGGGGGACAUCUAUCAAAGUCCCUGUUGAACUAGGAUUCUUUCUCGGAGUCCACUCGGCUUCGGAUUCUCACUCAGCGGUGUAAGUGUCUCGGAAUCCUGUCUGAGCAAGUGGAAUGGACCUCUAUGUUUGCCCGAGAACAGACAGUCGGUUUUUCGGGUAUUUUGGGCGAGCAGCAUAAAUACCCAAUAACAAUUGAUUAUCAUACAACAUGUCGCACAUGGUUCUUAAUUUGAAAAGUAUCGGAAAGGUGAAAUGUGCAAGCACACAAUUUGAAGAACUCUCUUGAGAAGCUUAAAAUGACUUCUGUUGGAAAAUUUGAGGUUUUAGAUAUCUGUAAUGGCCAGGAAAGUGAGAACCUGAACUUUCAGUCCCAAGGUUUUGAAGCAUUUCUUACAAAGAGCCUUGCAUGCCUGGAGAAUCUGCUCUUUGCG
rnacentral:misc_RNA from 1 species